UUGUAAGAUAAGAUAUUUAUGCCUUUUUCAAUUGUUAAAGUCGUGAUCCGAUUAUAUCAUCGUGUCUCUUUAUAUGCAAUAAAAAAGAACCUGGUAAAAAUUACCAUGUUCUUUUUUGA
rnacentral:sRNA from 1 species